UUUUAUUUUAGGACUCCCUAGAAAAGAUUGAAAGACGUGAUGGUGGUGAAAAAGUUGUCAUUUAUGGAUAUCCAACUUCAAAUGCCAAACAGUUCCAACUUAACAUUACAUGCCUAAAUGAUGGCAAAGGAGAUAUUGUCACCCACCUAAACCCCAGGUUUAAUCACCAGGGUGUCAUUAGAAAACAUGCUAUUAAUUAUUUUCAAAACGGACGAUGGGCGGAUGAAAUUGAAUCUUCCGACUUUGAUUUGGAAUUCGAAAAGGAGUUCGUCAUUCAGUUUUUAACAAGUCCAGGUUCUACUGUGAUUAAAAUAAAUUCCAACUUCGUUAAGACGUUAAAUCACAAAAUGAACUGCUAUGAUCAUCUGCAGUUUUCUGGUGACGUCAGAGUGCACAAAAUCUUGAUGAGUUAAAGUAUAACAGAUUUUUACUUUUGCAAAUACAAAUCUUUUUUUUUUUCUUUAUGGGUAUUGUUAUUGGUAUGAUAUUAUUUAAAACGUGUUCGUGGAAAGGAAAUAAUUAUUUAUUUUCACUACAACACAUAUACAAACAAUAAAAAGCACACACUUACUCACAGACAAUAGCUUACAGGCUUGGGGUUUUGACUAUUUUUCUCUUCAUAAUGUUCUUGAACUUUUACGGGUGAGAGGAUCGCAGUUACAAUUUUUUUGUACUGAGAAAGG